UAAGGUCACGGCGAGACGAGCCGUUUAUCAUUACGAUAGGUGUCAAGUGGAAGUGCAGUAAUGUAUGCAGCUGAGGCAUCCUAACAGACCGAGAGAUUUGAAC
rnacentral:rRNA from 29 species